UACGAAGGGGGGCUAGCGUUGCUCGGAAUCACUGGGCGUAAAGCGCACGUAGGCGGACUCUUAAGUCGGUGGUGAAAUCCUGGAGCUCAACUCCAGAACUGCCUUCGAUACUGGGAGUCUCGAGUUCGGGAGAGGUGAGUGGAACUGCGAGUGUAGAGGUGAAAUUCGUAGAUAUUCGCAAGAACACCAGUGGCGAAGGCGGCUCACUGGCCCGAUACUGACGCUGAGGUGCGAAAGCGUGGGGAGCAAACA
rnacentral:rRNA from 1 species